AGAGUGGCAUUCUACAGCUGUCCAACUGCCAGGAAAUGACACACGGGAGCUUUUUAUAACUCCAGAGCCCUAGAAAGUUGCUUUAGAAAAAAGAAAGAAGAAAAAGCCUGAAUUCUCAGGCUCUGCUCCUCAGCUGCCUGGGGCUAAGGCCCAGCACACCCACCAUCCCACCCCAGUGUGGGCCCCGCCCCCAGGCAGGCAGAGCCGUGGGGGGCAUGACAGAGAAAGGGGGUCCUGACUGCUAACUGGCUUGGAGGAGCCCCCAGAGGGACACUAAUUCCCAGCUGGGCUACUCCAAAAGUCAUCUCCAGGAAGGGCUGUGUGCGGUCACCAUCAGACGAAAGCAGAAGGACCAGGUGGACCCUGUCCCAACUGGGGACAGCAAGGUUGCUGAGCCCCUGGGGUCAGCUGAGCUUUCCUGGAGACUGUGUCUCAGCCCAGCUUCUCCCUCCGCCCAGGGCCCUUCCUGAGAGGCCUCCUGACAGAAGCCCACGCAGAGCCAUCAGCCUCCUGGGGAGCCCUGUCCACGACAUGGCCGCCGGGGGCAGACAUGAGAGAGUGGGGUCAGCAGGAGGGGCAACGGGCUUUCCUCUUUAUUCCUUUUUCCACCCUGUACGUGUAUUAUUUACUUAAAAUUUAUUUUUUUUUUGAUAAAUAAGAGCCUAUCAAUCGA